GCCAGCUUAGCUCAAUUGGCAGAGCAGCUGACUUGUAAUCAGCAGGUUGUCGGUUCGAGUCCGACAGCUGGCUCCA
rnacentral:tRNA from 3 species